GCAAACUCUGCAGAAAAAAUUAGCAGAGUAAGGAGUGGGGGAAGAAAGUGAGGCAAAGAAAGAGAAAUGGAGGCAGGAUACAUGCAUGUGACUGAAUACACAUGUGCACACAGGUAAGGAACCCACACCCGACCCCAACUCCCCCAACAAGAUCUAACUGCCAUCCUCCUCAGCAGACCCUGCAAGGAGGACGAGGGAGGGACAGCCGAACCUCGUGGCAGUGACGCAGCUGGCCCCCAGCUCACCCUCCCCUGAGGAAGCAUCUGCUACAAGUGCUCCCGCAACACGGGAGCGAAUCGGCACUGAUGCGCGUGUGCUGGGAGCACGGGAAUAACGGCAUCUGGAGAGGCCCUCGCUCCCUCCGACACUCACACACCUGAGCAUGAGCCCCAGGCAGCGGGCCAGCCCGGAAAACCUCUGCCAAAGCCGGAGAAGGACAUGGGCAUCGCCAUCUUCUGAGGGGGAGAGCAGCGUCUCCACCCCAGGUCCUUCGUACUGCAUAGGAGCUGGACAGAAACACAACCACCUUCACACGCCAGGUCUGUCUUCCAUCCCCUCCUCCUCCAUUCUGGUGGAGGACCCACCCAUAUUCUACUCCCUUUUGCCUAGAACUCAAAGGCCCCGCCUCUGCAGACCAGCCCCCUGCUCCCCUCACCACCAUGCCACCGACCACAGCAGCCACAGUCCCUACCCGUGUCCGCCCCCGCAUAUAGGGCCCCAAGCAGGCUGUGCAGAGAGGUCAGCAGGCUGUGCAGCUCCUGCUCCCAGCUGUCCGUGUGCUUCAGGCCCUGGGAGAAGCCAGCCCCUAGAGAGGGCAGCCGGGAGUAACACUCACAGGCCAACUGCAGAAGACAGGUUGGAACCCUGGUCAGAUGGGAAUCCAGCCCAGCCACGGAAUCCCAACCCCACCAAUGCCCAGGAAGACGGAGAUCAAAGAGAGCUCUGAGGGAAAACGGAAGGGACUACGGGGCAGAAAGACACAGAUGGAGACACGGAGCCAGAAGUCACGACUUGUGUUUACUGCGUAUGUUCACAGGGAGGGGAGUGAGACCGUGGUCGAAAAGCAGUAACAGAUAGAAAAACAGAGAGAGAAAAGAAGCUCCAGCUCAGACCCCAGGCUCUCCAUCUCCCUCCUUUCCCUUUACCUGCUGGAGCUGAGGGCUCAAGGCAUCCACCCGAGAUAGGAAAAAUGAGGCCAGCUUGCCCUGGAUUAGAGGGAAAGAAAGGGAGAGGCUGGUGAGUCAGCUCCAAGGGCCAGAGACAUAGACCCCGCCCAUUCCCAGCAGCAGAAUCGAGGCCCAGGAUCUAAGGCCUUUUUCUUUCCUGCAGACAAGGAAGCACCACACUCUAAGGGGCAUCAUGCCUGGGUGCAGACAUGCUCUCAUGGUAGAAAGACACCCUGAAUGUCGCCUCUUGUCCUUAGCCUCCCUGUUUGAGGCCUGUGUCCCACAGACGACUGGGCCCCCUCCUGCCAAUCUUUGCAAAAUGACAGUCAUCUCCCUCAAGCCAAAGACACAGCACUGAAAAGCAGCUACCUCCACGCCCCAACUCCCUGCCAGCUCAGACAAGAAGCAAGGGUCCAAGCUGGGAGCUGCGGCACUAACCAGAGAUGCGAGGGCAGGACAAGGUGGAGAGAGAAGGAAAGGCUGCCCAGCAGGACUGAGGUAGCACAUCUCAGAGCAGCGACCUGUCAGUUAGCCAACAACAGUACUCCGCCUGCUAUGUGAAGGCGCCGGCACAGGACUGUUUAACUGGGGCCCCAUUUAGCUGGAGGUAGAAUCAAAGGGGCCUGUGAACAUGGAAGGGAAAUUUUUUAAAUCAUUUUCACUAACCUGUAAAUGAAGUAUAAUUUUUUUUUUUUUUACUGUAUAUGUAGACAAAAAGCCACAGUAGUAUCAGCAGUACCUCUGACUGUCACCAUCAGAAAUCACUUAUCUUCAUUUCACGUUACAUAUAGUUGUAAACAGUUAUCUUGAAUUAUCAUUCACGUGCAUCACUAAUUUGAAACUUAGGUAGUUACCAGACCUGCUGCUAGAUCCUGUUAUUUGACACGUUAGUAAAGCAGCACAUCCCACUCUAUCACCAUUUUUUAAAGUAUACAUUUCAACAGAAUCAGUGUCCCUUGCAACUCCAUGUAUUUUAUGGAUUUAAAAACAUUCGAAGAGGUCUAUGGCACAAAAAGGGUGAGAACACUGAAGUAUAACAGGAUUUCCACCUUCAGUGGGUGUAACAGUCGGGAAGACAAAUGCGUGGAAAACAAAGAGGGGGGAGGGUCAGGAGGGACUGAUGCUGAGAGGCAGGACUGAGCUGGGUUUGGGAGAAAAGGGAGGACCCGGAUAAGGAGACAGAGGGAGGGACACCAUGAGGAGAGCUCCAGGCUCACAAGAGGCCCACGGAGAAGCAGGCCGGGCCUUAAAUCCCAGGCUAGUGUGUAUGGACUUCAUCAGGGGAUGGCGGCAUCACAUGCACAAAGGUAAACUUCCAGAAGACCAGGGAGACAAAUCAACAGUGACACCAGGUACGCAGCAGGGGACUUAUGGGAGGAAGCAGGCACGGAGGUCUAGCAGUGUAUGGUUCAGAAAGCAGCCCUCCAAGGGCUCCCUGCCAUCGCCCUGUGACAGGAGCCACAUCUGGUUUCCCACAUUCCACUGCAGGAUUCUCACCAUGAGACAAGCACUGUUACAGCUGAUCCCAGGGUAUGAGAAGGCCUAGAACCGUUUCCCUUGGGACUUGGAAAGCAUUUUCGGGUCCGGUGUGGUAGGGUUCUGCACACUUCAAACCAAAAGCAGCAACCGCCCACAGGUCUCCUGACACCGGCUUCUCCAAGGAUGACAGAGAGUCGCCAAAGCCUUUUCUACAGUGGCACUCGGCCCUUUUGGCCAACUUACUGCUCACGCUUUCCCUGAGACUCUGAGUCAAAAAGCUGGACUGAGGCCACCAAAAGUCUGCUUACGUGACUGCAGUCAAGCAAAGUACAGGGACAUGGCUCUGACCACAGGUCUACCCCAAGUGACCUGCAAAGCCAACCAAAGUAACGGCUCACUUGGAACAUUUCACUGGAAACGCAAGCACGCGUGCACACACAGUACGUCCUGGGUGUCUCUUAAGAGUGGGGUGAGUCUUCCCACUCAUUCCAGGGAACAAAUAAUCUGUCGAGGAGGAAAGGUAAAGCCUCUACAGGA